GUGCAGUAGCCAUGUUUGUCAAAGUAUUUGGCACCAGUGACAUCAUCUUUGUUGAAGUGCCGGACAGCGUGAUGAGUCCCAGAUGUUAACGCACACCAAAAGUCGAGAAAGAAUAAGAUACAAAGAUCAACUGUAACAGCUAUGGAGGACUGUACUCAGUUUACAUUCUGUUGUUGAUACAUGAAGAAUAUGGGGUUUUCUCAAGGACUCCAGACGCUGUUAAAACUUACAGACAAUUUAAAAGACAAGCAAAGAACAAACACCACAACUAAAGGAAGCUGCCAAAGGCUGUGGAAGUGUCAGCUGGCACCACUGCUCAUUAUACAGAUGGAGUUGUUGACUUUUACAUACAUAAAUGAUCUGAGAAAAGCUAUGUGAAGACUUUAAAAGAAGGCUUUCUUUUGGCAAAAGGAAAAAGAGAAAAAAAUUAAGAACCUCUGCUGAAAUUUAUUGGGGCAGAGCACGCCUGUCGGAGAGCAGGAAUGCUGGUGGUGGGUUUGGCAGCCCCACGAUGGCACCAGAAGCAGCAGUGAGACGCUGGAGCUGGAGGUCAACUGGUCAUAUUUAGAGACCCUGGAAGGGUAACCUGCUUUGAAGGUUUGUGCUACCUGCUCAUUUCCUGAACGGGAAACUGCCAAGUUUCAUCUCCUCCCUACCACAGUUAACUCCAGGGGAAGCUGUGCUAUUGUUUUAUACAAUGCCAGUAGUACCACGGUACUUCAAACAGUUCUGUGAAAUGCAGUUCCUUCUAUUCCCUCUGUUAUCAUUUCCUACGACAUUAGAAAAGAUCCUGAGCCC